rnacentral:rRNA from 1 species
GUGGGGAAUAUUGGGCAAUGGGCGAAAGCCUGACCCAGCAACGCCGCGUGAAGGAAGAAGGUUUUCGGAUCGUAAACUUCUAUCCUUGGUGAAGAUAAUGACGGUAGCCAAGAAGGAAGCCCCGGCUAACUACGUGCCAGCAGCCGCGGUAAUACGUAGGGGGCAAGCGUUGUCCGGAAUGAUUGGGCGUAAAGGGCGCGUAGGCGGCCUGGUAAGUCUGGAGUGAAAGUCCUGCUUUUAAGGUGGGAAUUGCUUUGGAUACUGUCGGGCUUGAGUGCAGGAGAGGUAAGUGGAAUUCCCGGUGUAGCGGUGAAAUGCGUAGAGAUCGGGAGGAACACCAGUGGCGAAGGCGACUUACUGGACUGUAACUGACGCUGAGGCGCGAAAGUGUGGGGAGCAAACAGGAUUAGAUACCCCAGUAGUCC